AUUGAACGCUGGCGGCAGGCCUAACACAUGCAAGUCGAACGGUAACAGGAAGCAGCUUGCUGCUUUGCUGACGAGUGGCGGACGGGUGAGUAAUGUCUGGGAAACUGCCUGAUGGAGGGGGAUAACUACUGGAAACGGUAGCUAAUACCGCAUAACGUCGCAAGACCAAAGAGGGGGACCUUCGGGCCUCUUGCCAUCGGAUGUGCCCAGAUGGGAUUAGCUUGUUGGUGGGGUAACGGCUCACCAAGGCGACGAUCCCUAGCUGGUCUGAGAGGAUGACCAGCCACACUGGAACUGAGACACGGUCCAGACUCCUACGGGAGGCAGCAGUGGGGAAUAUUGCACAAUGGGCGCAAGCCUGAUGCAGCCAUGCCGCGUGUAUGAAGAAGGCCUUCGGGUUGUAAAGUACUUUCAGCGGGGAGGAAGGGAGUAAAGUUAAUACCUUUACUCAUUGACGUUACCCGCAGAAGAAGCACCGGCCAACUCCGUG
rnacentral:rRNA from 1 species